rnacentral:rRNA from 1 species
GAUGAACGCUGGCGGCGUGCCUAAUACAUGCAAGUCGAGCGAACAGACGAGGAGCUUGCUCCUCUGACGUUAGCGGCGGACGGGUGAGUAACACGUGGAUAACCUACCUAUAAGACUGGGAUAACUUCGGGAAACCGGAGCUAAUACCGGAUAAUAUAUUGAACCGCAUGGUUCAAUAGUGAAAGACGGUUUUGCUGUCACUUAUAGAUGGAUCCGCGCCGCAUUAGCUAGUUGGUAAGGUAACGGCUUACCAAGGCAACGAUGCGUAGCCGACCUGAGAGGGUGAUCGGCCACACUGGAACUGAGACACGGUCCAGACUCCUACGGGAGGCAGCAGUAGGGAAUCUACCGCAAUGGGCGAAAGCCUGACGGAGCAACGCCGCGUGAGUGAUGAAGGUCCUCGGAUCGUAAAACUCUGUUAUUAGGGAAGAACAAAUGUGUAAGUAACUAUGCACGUCUUGACGGUACCUAAUCAGAAAGCCACGGCUAACUACGUG